GUGGUUAUGGUUCAGUGUUAGAGCACUGGCCUAGCAUGUCUGAGACUCUGAGUUCUAUCCCCAGUACUACA
rnacentral:tRNA from 1 species